UCUAAUGUAUUAAUUUAUUAUUCCCAUUAAAACAAGUAACAAUGUAUAAAUAUUUUGCAGUAAACUAUUUCGGAGACAUACAUCAGUCAGAUUGCUCUAGGCAUAAACACUGUUUUAUGUAACAAAGCAUACAGGCGUCUUCUGUAUGAAAACCUAUUUAUAAAUUUUCGACAUGUUGUCGUAGUGGCUAUAUAAUACGUCGACGUAUAUGUGCAUUGCUGGCUCCCAGUGAGAGGUUACAACAGUUAGUGUAAGUUAUCCUACUCCUAAGUUGACAUACUCGUCAACUUAAAUCUGGAAUUAUCACUAAAUCUUCAAAUCCGAGUCUCUGCGAGAAGAACCUGAAGGUCCCGCUUGGUUGAGAUGGAACAGACCUUAUAGACCAUGGCAGACGUCACAAAUAACUGAUUCUCUUCUUGAGAUACAAAUGUUAUGAUAGUUUCCACUAGCUUUGAACUGUAUAGCUAUAAUUAAAUAAAACAAAUGUUAAGUCACUACUAAA